AGUGACAAAGAACAGAAAAAGAGAGGCUGCGAAGGAGGCUAGGAGACCGUACCGAGGGCAAGAAGAAUUGACCCGAGUCGAGUCAUACACAGAUAUGUCCACGUGUCGCAGUUCAUGUGCGCGCACGCGAUCUUAUCAGCUUGUUGCAAAAGUAGCUCAGACCUGCCCCUCUUUCUGCAUAUUUUGCUCUGACUGUAAUAAACAAGUGUCCAGUGUCUCUGAUUAUCAAGUGAAGUUAUCAACAAAGACAGAGUCUGAGUGAGUUGAGUCUAGUCGAACAUGAGUUCAGAGGUCAGCACACAGCUAUGCACGAUAUUCAAUCCCCUAACCUUAACCAUGUUGAAAGGUACAAACCUAACUGAUGCCUGAGUUGUUUCACAACUACUUUAUAUAGUAUAUAGCUGAUUUCUGUCUACAAGGCUGAAUUUUGUGAGCAUAAAAUCGAGUACUCUGCGGCAGAGUACAGUGCCUCUUACAAAAUUGUAAUGGUAAGUUCUAUCUGCAAGCUCUACUCUGCCAACUCAGCUUGAAUCGUCGUGAUGACAGAUCUGUCAAUCUAUGCUCUGCUGUACUGCAUGCAUAGUUACUAGAAUGAUGUCAUGCAAUUGAAAAAUGCGCAUGUAGCCUCGAAUCCACGCCGAUUAAAAUAUGGCCUGGUGUUCAUUGCAGGGAGGUUAGUACACAUGCGCUGCACAAUUACCCAUAAUCUGGGUAAUUGUUCACGCCAGUAAAACUUUAGUAAAUGUUACCGUAAACUAGCUUGUAAUACUUGGAAUUUGUUCCGUGGUACUAUUAAUUGUUUCAAUGGCGUCGACUGAGUUUUGUGAAGCUGUGGCUUAUGCUCUUCGUUGCUAAAGGAUCUCUCACUGAAGCAAAAGCAAAAGGAGGCUAUCAUCCACCUGUAUGACAGUCAUGAUGUCUUUGCUUGGUUCCCCACGGGCUAUGGCAAGUCUUUGUGCUUCCAACUGCUCACUGAAGCGGACAAGCUCUAGAGUUGAGAGAAGUGUUGUGCUGGUGCUGUCACCACUAGUGUCUCUGAUAAUAGACCAGGUCUCAGGCCUCCGGAAUAGGGGUGUCUCUGCUGCUAUAUUGUCUGGCAACAAAGAUGUCGAGAAGGACCUCCUUGCUAGUGUGAGUGACGUGUCCGAGGGUCGGUUCUCUCUCCUCUAUAGUGCUCCCGAGGCGCUCCUUGGCAGAGAAGCGUAGAAGCAGCUCCUGGUCCAACGUCCCCUCUGUGACUCUGUAGUGGCAGUCGCUGUUGACGAAGCACACUGUGUGUAUAAGUGCGCACACAAAAACACACAGACCUUCUUCUGGAUGUGGGUAGAAAAGAGGACACAUGAGAGAUAAGAUUGAACCCCACACAUCACCCUGUUACGCUCCUUCAAGAGCCACAACGUCAUUCCUGAGACGAGGAGUUGAGAAAACAGCCCUGCAAAUGGAUUGAAGAUUUCCCCCAGCAAGUGCCUUUGAUACAGUUUGUAUUAAAUCAUCAGUAUCCAGAUGGCUGAGGACAGUCAGUCAAAGGAUACACCUUUGCAUUCAGCUGCAAGUAGUGGAGAUAUGGAAGGUGUCAAACGUCUGUUAAACUUAAAGCUUAAAGUAGACAUCAUAAAUUCUAGUGGACAGACACCUCUUCAUCUUGCUUGUGCCAAUGGGCACCUUCAUAUUGUUGAUGUCCUGGUUAAUGAGUAUGGUGCAGAUAUUGAGAUCCUCGAUGCCAAUGAGUGCAAUUCACUUGAAGUUGCUGCUAGAAGCGGUAACAUUCAGAUAUUGUUCUUUCUUGUGCUUACUGCCAUAUAUGGACAGAGACAUAGCAAGAAAUUAAGAGGAUUAUCCUCGUGUGCAGUGUGCACACUAAAACAAGACACAACAACAAUAGAACAGUUGUUAUUAAAAUACUAUCGUGAUACUCAAGCUAAGGAGGAAACUGGAACGUUGUUACUCGCAAAGUUUAGUGAUGUGUUUACGAAUGCUGAAAAUAAUUAUAGCAAUUUCUAUCCGCCUUUCUUAGCAGCUACACUUGGUCUUACAAAUGUUAUAGACGUCUUUGUUCAUGAAUAUGGCUGUGACAUUAAUAUCAAGGGAUUUAUAGGCUUAACCAUUCUCCAUGGGGCUUGCUUUGGAGGACAUGUUCAAAUGGUGCAAAAGCUUAUUGGUGAGCAUGACAUUGACCCGCAUACAACUACUAACGACAAUGAGUCAAUUCUCCAUUAUGCGACUUUGGGAGGUAGUAUUGAUAUGGUUUCUUCACUGAUUGCAAAUUAUGGGCUACACAUUAACAAGUUUUAUGACUCACCCCUUAGUGUAGCUGCUUUAAAUGGCCAUACAAAACUUGUUCAAGCACUGAUUGAAAAGCAUAACUGUGAUCCUUUUGCAACCAGUCAUCGCGGUUCUACUCUUCUUCAUCAUGCAUGUGCCUCUGGAGAAAUACCACUUGUUAAUGAGCUUGUAAGAAAGUAUCAGCUAGACAUAGCAACCAAAGAUGAGGCAGGCUUUACGCCACUACAUACAGCUGCUUGUCAAGGACGAACAAAAGUAGUGGUACAUAUUAUUAGCAUACUUCAGGCAAAUGUUAAUGCUGUUACUGAUAGAAAUGAAAGUGCAUUGAGUCUUGCUACUCAACACGGCCACACAAAUUUAGUUCAUAAACUUAUAAAAGGCUAUAACUGCAACCCUCGUGUCAAAGGCUUUGAAGGCAGAACUCUUCUUCACUAUGCCACUCAAGGUGGCCACAUUGAACUAAUCGACAUGCUGAUAACUGACUACAACCUUGAUUUGAAGAUUAGAGAUGAUAACGGCUAUACACUUUUACAUUUUGCCGCCAGCUAUGGCCAGUUUGGAGCAUUGCAGCACUUAGCUCAAACAGAAACAAUAGACAUUGAUUGUCUCAGUAACAAUGGUUUUACACCACUUCAUCUGGCUGCACUGAAAGGGCAUAAUCAUAUCUUGCAUGUUCUAAUAGAAGAGUUUAGCAGCAAUCCCUUUGCUAAAGGGUAUGUGGGCCGAACAAUUCUUGAUUAUGCUUGUCAAAAUGGAGACAAUGAGUUAGUGGACGAAAUAAUAGCUAAGCAUGGACUCAAUCCAAUGGCAGAAACUGAUUAUAAAAAUACUCCUCUGCACAUUGCUGCUAGACACGGGCAAGUUUCAACAGUCAAACAUCUAAUCACAAAGCACCAUGUUAAAGUUGAUUGCCGUAACAGCCAACAGCGUACUCCUUUGGAUGAGGCAGUGCUAUAUGGACACAAAAAUGAAGUGGAUUUAUUUUUAAAAGAAUUUACCUCUGAUCCUCAUGUCAAAGGCUUUGAAGGCAGAACUCUUCUUCACUAUGCCACUGAAGGUGGCCACAUUGAACUAAUCGACAUGCUGAUAACUGACUACAACCUUGAUUUGAGGGUUAGAGAUGAUAACGGCCAUACACUUCUACAUUUUGCCGCCAGCUAUGGCCAGUUUGGAGCAUUGCAGCACUUAGCUCGAAAAAAGACAAUAGGCAUUGAUUGUCUCAAUAAAAAUGGCUGUACACCACUUCAUCUGGCAGCAUUGGAAGGACAUAACCAUAUCUUGCGUGUUCUAAUAGAAGAGUUUAACAGCAAUCCCUUCGCUAAAGGGUACGUGGGCCUAACAAUUCUUCAUUAUGCUUGUCAAAAUGGUGAUAUUGAGUUAGUGGACGAAAUAAUAGCUAAGUAUAGACUCAAUCCAAUGACAGAAACUGAUAAUCAAAAUACUCCGCUGCACAUUGCUGCUAGGCACGGGAAAGUUGCAACAGUCAAACAUUUAAUCACAAAGUACCAUGUUGAAGUUGAUUGCCUCAACAAUGAACAGCGUACUCCUUUGUGUGUGGCAGUACUAUAUAGACACAAAAAUGUAAUGGAUUUACUUUUAAAAGAAUUUACCUCUGAUCCUCAUGUCAAAGGCUUUGAAGGCAGAACUCUUCUUCACUAUGCCACUGAAGGUGGCCACAUUGAACUAAUUGAUACUCUGGUAACAGACUACAACCUUGAUUUGAGGGUUAGAGAUGAUAACGGCCAUACACUUCUACAUGUUGCCACCAUCUAUGGCCAGUGUAAAGCAUUGCAGCACUUAGCUCAAACAGAAACAAUAGACAUUGAUUGUCUCGAUAACAAUGGCUCUACACCACUUCAUCUGGCUGCACUGAAAGGGCAUAAUCAUAUCUUGCGUGUUUUAAUAAAAGAGUUUAGCAGCAAUCCCUUUGCUAAAGGGUAUGUGGGCCAAACAAUUCUUCAUUAUGCCUGUCAAAAUGGUGAUAAUGAGUUAGUGGACGAAAUAAUAGCUAAGUAUGGACUCAAUCCAAUGGCAGAAACUGAUUAUCAAAAUACUCCUCUGCACAUUGCUGCUAGACACGGGAAAGUUGUAACAGUCAAACAUUUAAUCACAAAACACCAUGUUAAAGUUGAUUUCCUCAACAAUCAUCAGUGUACUCCUUUGUGUGUGGCAGUGCUGUAUGGGCACAAAAAUGUAAUGGAUAUACUCAUAAAAGAAUUUGCCUCUGAUCCUCAUGUCAAAGGCUUUGAAGGCAAAACUCUUCUUCACUAUGCCACUGAAGGUGGCCACAUUGAACUAAUUGAUACUCUGGUAACAGACUACAACCUUGAUUUGAGGGUUAGAGAUGACAACGGCCAUACACUUCUACAUUUUGCCGCCAGCUAUCGCCAGUGUAAAGCAUUGCAGCACUUAGCUCGAACAGAAACAAUAAACAUUGAUUGUCUCAGUAAAAAUGGCUCUACACCACUUCAUCUGGCAGCAUUGGAAGGGCAUAAUCAUAUCUUGCGUGUUCUAAUUGAAGAGUUUAACAGCAAUCCCUUUGCUAAAGGGUAUCUGGGCCGAACAAUUCUUCAUUAUGCCUGUCAAAAUGGUGAUAAUGAGUUAGUGGACGAAAUAAUAGCUAAGUAUAGACUCAAUCCAAUGACAACAACUGAUAAUCAAAAUACUCCGCUGCACAUUGCUGCUAGGCACGGGCAAGUUCCAACAGUUAAACAUUUAAUUACUAAGUACCAUGUUAAAGUUGAUUGCCUCAACAGUCAGCAGUGUACUCCUUUGUGUGUGGCAGUGCUAUAUGGACACAAAAAUGUAAUGGAUUUGCUCAUAAAUGAAUUUACCUCUGAUCCUUAUGUUAAAGGCUUUGAAGGCAAAACUCUUCUUCACUAUGCCACUCAAGGUGGCCACAUUGAACUAAUUGAUGCUCUGAUAACUGACUACAACCUUGACUUGAUGGUUAGAGAUGAUAACGGCCAUACACUUCUACAUGUUGCUGCCAUCUAUGGCCAGUGUAAAGCAUUGCAACACUUAUCUCAGAAAAAAAAAAUAGACAUUGAUUGUCUCGAUAACAAUGGCUCUACACCACUUCAUCUGGCAGCAUUAGAAGGACAGAACCAUACCUUGCGUGUUCUAAUAGAAGAGUUUAACAGCAAUCCCUUUGCUAAAGGGUACCUGGGCCGAACAAUUCUUCAUUAUGUGUGUAAAAAUGGUGAUAUUGAGUUAGUGGACGAAAUAAUAGCUAAGUAUGGACUCGAUCCAAUGACAGAAACUGAUUAUCGAAAUACUCCUCUGCACAUUGCUGCUAGUCACGGGCAAGUUGCAACAGUCAAACAUUUAAUCACAAAGUAUUAUGUUAAAGUUAAUUGGCGUAACAACCAACAGUGUACUCCUUUGGAUGUGGCAGUACUAUAUGGACACAAAAAUGUAAUGGAUUUGCUCAUAAAAGAAUUUACCUCUGAUCCUCAUGUCAAAGGCUUUGAAGGCAGAACUCUUCUUCACUAUGCCACUGAAGGUGGCCACAUCGAACUAAUUGAUGCUCUGAUAACUGACUACAACCUUGAUUUGAUGGUUAGAGAUGAUAAUGGCCAUACACUUCUACAUGUUGCUGCCAUCUAUGGCCAGUGUAAAGCAUUGCAGCACUUAGCUCGAACAGAAACAAUAGACAUUGAUUGUCUCGAUAACAAUGGUUCUACACCACUUCAUCUGGCAGCAGUAGAAGGACAAAACCACAUGUUGCAUGUUCUAAUAGAAGAGUUUAAUAGUAACCCCUUUACUGGAAUUCUUCAUUGGGCCUGUCAAAAUGGUGAUAAUGAGUUAGUAGACAAAAUAAUAAUUAAGUAUGAACUUGAUCCAAUGACAAAAACUGAUCAUCAAAAUACUCCUCUGCACAUUGCUGCUAAGCACGGGCAAGUUGCAACAGUCAAACAUUUAAUCACAAAGUACCAUGUUAAAGUUGAUUACCUCAACAACCAGCAGCGUACUCCUUUGGAUGAGGCAGUGCUAUAUGGGCACAAAAAUGUAAUGGAUUUACUCAUAAAAGAAUGUGCCUCUGAUCCUCAUGUCAAAGGUUUUCAGGGCAGAACUCUUCUUCACUAUGCUACUGAAGGUGGCCACAUCAAACUAAUUAACGCACUGAUAACUGACUACAACCUUAACCUGAUGAUAAGGGAUGAUAAUGGUGAUACACUUCUACAUGUUGCCGCCAGCUAUGGGCAAUUUGAAGUAGUGCAACACUUAGCUCGAAAAGCAAUAGCCAUUGAUUGUGUCAAUAACAAUGGCUCUACACCUCUUCAUCUAGCAGCAUUGAAAGGACAUCAACAUACUGUGCAAUUAUUUGUGAAAGAGUUGAAGUGUAACUCUAACAUCACGAAUAAUACAGGCAUGACUAUUCUGCACUAUGCCUGUCAGAGUGGUAACAUAGGCUUGAUUGAUUACUGUGUAGCUGAAUGUGAACUCAAAUCAACAAUUCAAGACGACCUUGGCAACACAAGUCUGCAUUUAGCUGCUUUCAUAGGGCAGAACAAAGUAAUAGAACAUCUUAUUAGCAAAUACUCAGUAAAAGUUGAUAUUCGUAACAAAGAAAAUGCUACUCCGCUGUGUCUUGCAGCCGAAAAGGGACAUCGAAGUACUCUGAAAAUAUUGAUACAACAAUAUAGGUCUAACAAAUUUGUUAAAGGCUUGAAAGGUAUGACUCUCCUCCAUUAUGCAUGUGCCAGUGGACCUGUUGAAUUGAUAGAUGAUCUUAUCAUAGAGCAUGAGCUAAACCGCCAUGCAAAAGAUGAUGAUGGAAAUACAGCUCUUCAUUUAGCUGCUUUCCAGAAUCAAAUUAAAAUAUGUAAGCAUUUAAUUACCAAACGUAAAUUGAAUGUUAACGAUUGCAACAAUGAAACCUCUACUCCAUUGUGUUUAGCUGCUCUAUGUGGUCACACAGAUUUGGUAUGCAUGAUGAUUGAGGAAUUAAACUGUGAUCCUCUUAUUAAAGGUUUCCGGGGCAGAGGAAUUCUACAUUAUGCUUGUCAAGGUGGACAUACCGAUCUAAUAAAAACAUUGAUUGAAAGUUAUAAUCUCAACCCAACAACUAUAGAUGAUUAUGGCGAUACUAUAGUGCACAUGGUUGCUCAAAAUGGACACAUCUGUGCAAUGCAGUAUUUUAAAAAUGAGCUUAAUGUUGAGAUGGAUAGUCGCAACAAGGCAAUGGUCACUCCUUUGUUUCUAGCAGCUCAGAAUGGACAUGUUGAAUUAGUGAGAUUCCUAUUAAGAGAGCUUAAAUGUGAUCCAAAUGUCAAAACCCUUAAGAAGGAGACACUUCUGCAUUUUGCCUGUGCUCAAUCGGAACCAGUUUUGCUGAUUGAGCUGAUUUCUGAGUUCAAACUUAAUCCUUUAGCUGAAGAUGACAAUGGUAAUACUGCUUUACACAUGGCAGCUCAGUCUGGACAUGACCAACUUGUAAUAUUACUAGUCUCCAAAUUUGGACUCUCUGUCGAUGCAAAAAAUCAUAAUGGUACCUCACCAUUGCACUUAGCUGCUAAAAAUGGACAUUCAAAGGUUGUUGAUGCACUCAUUAAUGAUCUGUGUUGUAAGUUAGAUGAUUGCAACAAAAACGGUCAAACAGUACUGCACAUUGCUUGCUUUUUCGGCAACUUACUGCUUGUUAAGAUGUUAGUAACUGUUUACAAAAUGUCUAUUUUGUCUGUUGACUCGAAUGGGAACACACCUCUCCACCUCGCAACUAUUGGUGGACAUAGCAGUUGCGUGGAGCUACUCUUGUUUACAUUCAAUGCCCCAGUUUUUGUGAGAAAUAAAUGUGGACUUACUGCUAUGGAGGUUGCUAAGUCUAUAAUGCCGCCGAAAGUGUUUAUAUAUGCACUGUAUAAACGAUACAUGAAAGAGCAAAAUUCUCAUAUCCAGCUCACCUACCAAGAACAUGAAACACUGGUUAGAAAACAGUAUAGUGGACACAAGCAUCUCGGAAGGUUAUUGUUAAUGGGGCACCCAGCAGCAGGAAAAACGACUCUUAUCGAAACAUUAAAAAGAAAAGGGAUUCUAAACAAAGUGUUUGGACGUACAACGGUAGUUGCACCUCACACAGCCGGCAUUGUUUCUAGCACGCUUGAUAGUGACCAGUUUGGGCGGAUGAUCUUCUUUGAUUUUGCAGGUGACCCUGAAUACUACUCUUCACAUGCUGCUAUCUUCGAGAAUUUGGAUACCACAAAAGGUGUGAACAUCUUUCUGAUUGUGUGUGAUUUAGCUCAAAACAAAGACAUUCUAAUCACCAGAUAUGGUUAUUGGCUUUCCUUUUUAAGUUACAAUACUCGUCAAUCAAGUACACCAGUAUUAGUUUUGCCAGUUGGAAGCCAUGCAGACAUGAUUAAAAAGGAUACUGCUUCCGAGAAACUUUCUUUACUGAAUAAAGUUUCCAGUCGAUUCAUUUCUACUAGUACUGUUAACAUGCUACAUAUCAAAGAAAGUAUUGCUCUAGAUUGUCGUACAACAGGGAGUAUUGUAGACAGCAUCAAAGAAAUAGUGAGAGAAACAUCGUCCUCGGUGCCUCCAGUUGGACUUAGCCUUGAAAGUACUGUUCUUCUCGGUUUACUGUUGAAAGACUUUGCACUUGUCCCGGCAUGCACUCUUAAAACAAUUGUUUCGCAUAUCGAGGAGCUAGUCCAUUUUCCACUCUGUAAUGUCCUCAAAAAUUUGCGACCUCCUUAAAGAACUACACGAGUUUGGUCUGAUACUGCUUAUCACGAAACAUUUUGUAUCACUUGAAGACUAUUGGGUUGUCUUGAAUGUAUCAACACUCACAUCUGAAGUGCAUAGCAAACUAUUUUCUUCAACUGCUAUGACCGAGUUGACAAGUGAUGUAGAUCAACUAAAACUAAGUGUUGGCAUCAUUCCUGAAUCGCUGCUAGAGAAAUUACUACCGGAUUACAUUACAAAGGAAUGCCUGAUUCAACUCCAAUAUUGUCAAGUAAUCGAUGAUAUUCAUGUUGAUGACGAUCACACUUUAACACAAGUGCACUCGGAUGAGAGACCUUCACGGAAGUCACUUCUUUUUUUCCCAGCUCUUUGUAAGCUGAAUUUAGAAGAAAUCUCCUGGCCAACCAACACUGACAGACAAUGUGCUCUUGGAUGGUAUGCAAAAUGUGCUAACAAUAAUUUUGACUACUUUCCUUCACGCUUUCUACAUGUACUGAUAGUUUGACUAUCUUUGAGUUUUGCACUAAAACAAAGACUUCCAACUAAUCAUAGCCUGGUGAGCAGUCUUUCAGAUAGUAUCUGCUCCUCAUCAACUUCCUUGAGCAGUAUUGCCACAACAGCUGAUAUUAGUGAUAUGGAAUCGAGUUUAUUCGAGGUACACACCUUUAAUCGUCGUUGCCAUGUCUGGACAACUGGCCUUCACUGGCUAAUGGAAAACGGAGUGGAGGUUUUUGUUGACAUGCCCAAAGAUGCAGGCAAUAAAGGACUAGUGGUAGUCACUAGAAGUAGCAAUGACUGUCGAGCUGAGUGUGCAAAUACUUUGCAGAAAGUUAUUCAGAAAAUAGUCGAAGCUAAAGUCGAAUUUUGUCAUAGUGUUUCACCUGCCGUGUAUCUACUUGAUCCAGCCAAGCUCAGGGACACGUCUUUCAUAAAUGCUAGAGACGUGCCGCUGUAUACACUAAGUGAUGUUGCAGCAGCACUUGCUGAAAGCUACAAAAAAGCAGUCAGCAUUGACGGACAUCAUUUCUCCUCCCCUGCAGAGUUUACUAGUCUAACACGAUGGACAAUGUCCUACUGGAAUAUCUUAUUUCCAAUGGAUACCAGUGACGUAGAUGGUGCUAUAACAGAAAUUUCUGGAACUAAUUGGAAGCUUCUGGGGAUAAAUCUCGGCAUUCCUCUCAAAGAUCUUGAAAACAUUGACUCUGAGACUAUAAAGAUCAAGAACAAAAAGGCUGAGAUGAUCCAAAUUUGGAUGACAGGUGAAAAUAGGCCUACAUGGCCAGGUCUUGUUGACUCACUCAGGAGUCAAUCAAUUUUGUUGAAUCAAGCAGCAGAGAGGGUAUCUAUGGAGCAUCAAGUCCCGCUGCAAAGAAUAAUCCUUGAUAAAAGCAAGUCCAUCAGUCACCCAGACAUGGACUUCCUCCAAUCGUUUGCUGCCAUCAUUGGCUCUCGAUGGCAGUGUCUUGCUUCUCCCCUCUCCCUCUCCUCUGAAGAUAUUGUGAGCAUCAAGAGAGAGUCAAGAGGAGCAGAACCCACCAGACAAGCACUCGUCAUGCUGCAAAAGUGGGCAGCUAGCGACACGGCAACUUAUGGGCAGCUGCGAGAAAGACUAUGUACACUUUCAGUAUUUCAUAUUUGAUCUAUCAUCACACCAUGCACUACUGCAACAAAUAGACAUUUUCAGCAACAUGCAUUAUGUUAAUUAGUGCACUGAGCCCACACGUCAUAACAAACCCACAACAUGCACUAAUUUACAAUAGUCAUACCACAGCCUUUACAAUUGAAUAUUUAUUUUCACAGCAGUUGACACACAUCAUGUUCAUAUCACACUUUUUUAAUUUUAUUGCACAUUCUCAUGUAGUUUAUCACGUAGUUUAUGA